rnacentral:rRNA from 1 species
GACGAACGCUGGCGGCGUGCUUAACACAUGCAAGUCGAGCGGUAAGGCCCUUUCGGGGGUACACGAGCGGCGAACGGGUGAGUAACACGUGGGUGACCUGCCCUCAGCUCUGGGAUAAGCCUGGGAAACCGGGUCUAAUACCGGAUAUGACUCCAUGACGCAUGUUGUGGGGUGGAAAGCCUUGUGCGGCCGAGGAUGGGCCCGCGGCCUAUCAGCUUGUUGGUGGGGUGANGGCCUACCAAGGCGACGACGGGUAGCCGGCCUGAGAGGGCGACCGGCCACACUGGGACUGAGACACGGCCCAGACUCCUACGGGAGGCAGCAGUGGGGAAUCUUGCGCAAUGGGCGAAAGCCUGACGCAGCGACGCCGCGUGAGGGAUGACGGCCU